CUUAAAUCUCCCGAAUGCGGUCAGCGGGACUUAUGUGUGAAUUGCCUGGAACUGUUUUCGGCAUGGCAAUCACGUGAACGGCUGGUCAGUAUGGAAGUCCCUACUGACUACUUUCCAUUCAAUGUAUCAAACCGGCAUUCGGGAGUUUUUUUAUCUACCGAACAAGGGGAGCAUUCGCAUGUAACAAGCUGCAACAUACGUACGGUAGUUUUCGUGUAAUUAGGCGCAAAUGGAGACCAGCUCUUGCUGUUGAUUUCAUGGAACUCUAAAUCGGAAACCACCACAUGGCGAGCCGGUCAAACUUCCACACGAUGCGACACGGAAACUCAAACUGAUUUUUGUGAAAUUUGGAUCUGUGACUCCCAGUGUCCUCUGCUACCCAGGGAUGUGAUUGUUAUAUUUAUAUGUUAUGCAGAAAGUACUUUUCUAAAAAUUUUAAUAUUUCUGGCCAGCAGAUAAUUGAGUUUAGUAUGUUGCUAAAAACUCAAUUAUUCAGCCUGGCCCAGAGGAGGAGUCUG